rnacentral:misc_RNA from 1 species
AAAGUCGUAACAAGGUUUCCGUAGGUGAACCUGCGGAAGGAUCAUUACUGAAGUGAUUUGGGGAUGUUGCUGGCCUCUUCUCAGAGGCAAUGUGCACUCCCUGAACAACUCACAAUUUCCAUCACACCCUUGUGCACAUCUUGUAGGUGCCCUCUCACCUCUUAUUGGUCCGGGCAUCCUAUGUAUCCCUUCAUCUCACACUUUUUGAAUGGUGCUCUUGAACGCAUCUUAUGGAUUAUUUGUAAAAAGUAAUCACAGAAACAACUUUCAACAAUGGAUCUCUUGGUUCUG